rnacentral:rRNA from 1 species
UAAUACGUAUGGUGCAAGCGUUAUCCGGAAUUACUGGGCGUAAAGGGUGCGUAGGCGGCUAAAUAAGUCAUAUGUGAAACCCCAGGGCUCAACCCUGGGAUUGCAUAAGAAACUGUAUAGCUUGAGUGCAGGAGAGGUAAGCGGAAUUCCUAGUGUAGCGGUGAAAUGCGUAGAUAUUAGGAAGAACACCAGUGGCGAAGGCGGCUUACUGGACUGUAACUGACGCUGAGGCACGAAAGCGUGGGGAGCGAACAGGAUUAGAUACCCUGGUAGUCCACGCUGUAAACGAUGAAUGCUAGGUGUCGGGUCGAGAGAUUCGGUGCCGGAGUAAACACAAUAAGCAUUCCGCCUGGGGAGUACGUACGCAAGUAUG